UACUUCACGUUCUGUCUGCGCAUGACGUCACGGACGACGAGAGGUGUUUGUUCUGGAUCCUGGGAAAGAAACAUCCCGCGCACCUUGACAACCGAAUAAACGAGGUGUACUCCCCUUUUCCUCAUCAGCAGUGUGCUCUGUGAUCAAUUAGCUGGGUUUGGACCAGCGUCUCUAAGGGGACUCUUCUCUGGAUCAGGUGACGGGCCGGGCCACGCGGCACCUCUUUGCUGAAAGAGGCCGGAGAGGAAAUGCACUCUCGAUUAAGGACCUCCACGCAGAGAUACACAUGAAGCCAGACCCAGGCAGCCCCCUCCUCCCCUCUCCCUUCCAUGACUGAAUGUUGCAGUAAG